GAUGGUCCUAUCCACACAUCACAUGGCACGGCCGGAUAGCGGUCCUUAAAAUGAACGUUCUCCCACGAGCUCUAUACCUGUUCCAAACUAUACCGAUGACUCCGCCGGCGAGAUUCUUCUCGACCCUAAAAUCAGAGGUCAUUAGGUUCGUAUGGAGGGGAGAAAGAUCCAGGAUAUGCCAUGACAUACUGUGCACGCCCAGACAUAGGGGGGGUUUAGCCCUGCCCGAUUUUAAAAAAUAUCACCAAGCAGCGACGCUGCAACGAAUCCUGGAAUGGCACGAACUAGAGACGACCAAACAAUGGGUGAUCCUGGACCGGGAGGGUGAUGUUGCAAAACUGAAAGCGGCAAUCUGGAAAAGACG